rnacentral:piRNA from 1 species
UGCUCCUUAACGUCAUUCUGUGGAUCUGACC